rnacentral:tRNA from 1 species
AGUUAUUCGCUAGGCAGCAUAAUUUGUCUUGAAAACAAAUCAAAAGUGUUCAAAUCACUUAAUAACUU